rnacentral:rRNA from 1 species
UUCCGGUUGAUCCUGCCGGAUCCUACUGCUGUCGGGAUAAGACUAAGCCAUGCAAGUCAAGCGUUUCCUAGCUAUGUUGGAAACGCGGCGUACGGCUCCGUGACACGUAGUUAACCUGCCCUUAGGAUGGGGACAACCCCGGGAAACUGGGGCUAAUACCUAAUAUGUGAGAAUGCCUGGAAUGGUUUCUCGCUGAAAAGACAUUUUGAACAUGCUCUUAAUGUUGCCUAAGGAUGGGACUGCGACCGAUCAGGUUGUUGGUGGGGUAAUGGCCUACCAAGCCUAUAACCGGUACGGGCCCUGAGAGGGGUAGCCCGGAGAUGGGAACUGAGACAAGGUCCCAGGCCCUACGGGGCGCAGCAGGCGCGAAACCUCCACAAUACACGAAUGUGUGAUGGGGUUAUCCCGAGUGCCAUCCGCUGAGGACGGCUUUUCUUCAUUGUAUGUAGCUGGAGGAAUAAGAGGGGGGCAAGACUGGUGUCAGCCGCCGCGGUAAUACCAGCCCCUCGAGUGGUAGGGACGAUUAUUUAGCCUAAAGCGUUCGUAGCCGGCUUAACCAGUCCUUCGUGAAAUCCGAUGACUUAAUCGUCGGGCGUGCGAGGGAUACUGUUAGGCUUGGGGACGGGAGAAGUCGACGGUAGUCCCGGUGUAGGGGUGAAAUCCUAUAAUCCCGGGAGGACCACCAGUGGCGAAGGCGGUCGACUAGAACGCGCCCGACGGUGAUGGACGAAAGCUGGGGGAGCGAACCGGAUUAGAUACCCGGGUAGUCCCAGCUGUAAACGAUGCGAGCUAGGUGUUGGGGCAGCCACGAGCUGCCUCCAGUGCCGCAGGGAAGCUCUUAAGCUCGCCGCUUGGAGUACGGUCGCAAGGGCUGAAAUUCAGGAGGUAGAGACCUCUUGUACAGCAGACUUAAAGGAAUGCGGGGAGCACCCACAGGGGUGAGCCUGCGGUUUAAUGGAUCACGCCG